UGGGGAAUAUUGCACAAUGGAGGGAACUCUGAUGCAGCGACGCCGCGUGAACGAAGAAGGCUUUCGAGUCGUAAAGUUCUUUUAUAUGGGAAGAUAAUGACGGUACCAUAAGAAAAAGCCCCGGCUAACUACGUGCCAGCAGCCGCGGUAAUACGUAGGGGGCUAGCGUUGUCCGGAAUCACUGGGCGUAAAGGGUUCGCAGGCGGAGAUGCAAGUCAGGUGUAAAAGGCAGUAGCUUAACUACUGUAAGCAUUUGAAACUGCAUAUCUUGGGAAGAGUAAAGGUAGGUGGAAUUUUUAAAGUAGCGGUGAAAUGCGUAGAUAUUAAAAAGGAUACCGGAGGCAAAGGCGACUUACUGGGCUCAUACUGACGCUGAGGAACGAAAGCGUGGGUAGCAAACAGG
rnacentral:rRNA from 1 species